CAAUAGCGUAUAUUAAAGUUGUUGCGGUUAAAAAGCUCGUAGUUGGAUUUCUGCUGAGAACGACCGGUCCGCCCUUUGGGUGUGUAUCUGGCUCUUUCUUGGCAUCUUCUUGGUGAACGUUGCUGCACUUGACUGUGUGGAGCGCUACCCAGGACUUUUACUUUGAGGAAAUUAGAGUGUUUCAAGCAGGCAUACGCCUUGAAUACAUUAGCAUGGAAUAAUAAGAUAGGACCUCGGUUCUAUUUUGUUGGUUUCUAGAGCUGAGGUAAUGAUUAAUAGGGAUAGUUGGGGGCAUUCGUAUUUAACUGUCAGAGGUGAAAUUCUUGGAUAUGUUAAAGACGGACUACUGCGAAAGCAUUUGCCAAGGAUGUUUUCAUUGA
rnacentral:rRNA from 1 species